AACGAACGCUGGCGGCAUGCCUAACACAUGCAAGUCGAACGAAGCCUUCGGGCUUAGUGGCGCACGGGUGCGUAACGCGUGGGAAUCUGCCCUUGGGUUCGGAAUAACAGUUAGAAAUGACUGCUAAUACCGAAUGAUGUCUUCGGACCAAAGAUUUAUCGCCCAAGGGUGAGCCCGCGUCGGAUUAGCUAGUUGGUGAGGUAAAGGCUCACCAAGGCGACGAUCCGUAGCUGGUCUGAGAGGAUGAUCAGCCACACUGGGACUGAGACACGGCCCAGACUCCUACGGGAGGCAGCAGUGGGGAAUAUUGGACAAUGGGCGAAAGCCUGAUCCAGCAAUGCCGCGUGAGUGAUGAAGGCCUUAGGGUUGUAAAGCUCUUUUUACCCGGGAUGAUAAUGACAGUACCGGGAGAAUAAGCCCCGGCUAACUCCGUGCCAGCAGCCGCGGUAAU
rnacentral:rRNA from 1 species